rnacentral:rRNA from 1 species
UAGGGAAUCUUCCGCAAUGGGCGAAAGCCUGACGGAGCAACGCCGCGUGAGUGAUGAAGGUCUUCGGAUCGUAAAACUCUGUUGUUAGGGAAGAACAAAUGUGUAAGUAACUAUGCACGUCUUGACGGUACCUAAUCAGAAAGCCACGGCUAACUACGUGCCAGCAGCCGCGGUAAUACGUAGGUGGCAAGCGUUAUCCGGAAUUAUUGGGCGUAAAGCGCGCGUAGGCGGUUUUUUAAGUCUGAUGUGAAAGCCCACGGCUCAACCGUGGAGGGUCAUUGGAAACUGGAAAACUUGAGUGCAGAAGAGGAAAGUGGAAUUCCAUGUGUAGCGGUGAAAUGCGCAGAGAUAUGGAGGAACACCAGUGGCGAAGGCGACUUUCUGGUCUGUAACUGACGCUGAUGUGCGAAAGCGUGGGGAUCAAACAGG